UGAGAGAGUUGGCAAUUAUCCGUGCUAAGAAUCCAACUCGCGGUUCAAAACGUGUGCGUGACGAAAGAUCUUCGGAGGACAAUCCCAUGAAUGGGUUGAUUUACUGGAUUAAGCUGGAUGACCCACUUCCUGUGUGUUAUGAGGUUCCGGUUUUGAUCAUAAGAGGAAAUCUCAUGACAGAAGGAGAACAGCAUUUCGUUUCCUGGGAUAGCGUCAACAUGCCUGUCGGUGAUAACAUCGUGCGGGCUUUCAGCAUGUUUUGUCAAUGCUUUGAUGUAUUUGGCAUUCCAUGCGCACCAAGCGACAAACAGUUUAUGAUGUUUUUCCGGGGAAUAAUCUUUUCUGUGGACAAAGUUUCCACAACCGGAGAAAAAUUCGUUAGAUCUCUAGAGGAGUAAGUGAAACCCAAUAAAAAUUCAUAUUUCAGCAUUGAAUAAAAAUAAGUAUUGUUAUGAGAUA